UCAACGCAUAAGCAUCGCCAUUCAAAAAGGAAACGUGGCAUCAAUUUUGGGCACAAUUCCACCAUCGAAAGAUUUGAAGGAGGUGUUUUAUCUUUAAACAUUGGAAUGAAUUAUAUGAAU